rnacentral:lncRNA from 1 species
CGCCAGGGGAUACAAACCCUUCUGCCCCUUUUUGCGACCCCUGAAGCUUACUGUUAGUGGUCGAGUUUUUCUGGAAGUGGGCUUCCGCGAUCGCGGGGACCAACGCCCUGAGCUCUUGUGCCCAAACGGGAUCGCCAGGUUUUUUGAUGCAGAUCGAAAGGAACUGGCCCCGGAGCCUACAACCUGACGCAGGUGGGACUUGGGGAAAUGUCGAGAAACCUAGAUCUGGGACUUGAGUUGGCUUCCAGGGCACACAUUAUUGUUCAGAACAAACAUAUUGCAAAAAUCGGGAGGUGACGGGCAGAUGAAGUGUCGGCGCUUCGCCUCGGGACUCCAAUGCAACCUACGGGGCUUUUGGAAAGGAGGAAGUCGAUGACUCUGCAGGGACUCCUCUGACCCAGGAGCAGAUGGCGCUCGUCUGGGCACUCCCCAGCAGAAAAGGUGCAUCGGGAAGCAGCCUGGCUUGUGGAUGGUGGACAAGGUGGAGGAGAGAGAAUUCCUUGGCAGCAGCAUUAUGAACAAAUGCGGGGCUGAGAAACAGCAUGGUGGCCUUGACUAAGUGUAUGGCGACAGCAGAUGGAGUCUCGCUCUGUCACCCAGGCUAGAGUGCAGUGGCGCGAUCUCAGCUCACUGCAACCUCUGCCUCCCGGGUUCAAGUGAUUCUCCUGCCUCCGC